rnacentral:rRNA from 1 species
UACAGAGGGUGCAAGCGUUGUUCGGAAUUAUUAGGCGUAAAGGGCGCGUAGGCGGUCAGCACAAGUCAGUUGUGAAAUCUCCGGGCUUAACUCGGAAAGGUCAACUGAUACUGUGCGACUAGAGUGCAGAAGGGGCAACUGGAAUUCUCGGUGUAGCGGUGAAAUGCGUAGAUAUCAAGAGGAACACCUGAGGUGAAGACGGGUUGCUGGGCUGACACUGACGCUGAGGCGCGAAAGCCAGGGGAGCAAACGGG